rnacentral:tRNA from 1 species
GGGGCUAUAGCUCAGCUGGUAGAGUGCUUGCCUUGCAUGCACAAGGCCCUGGGUUCGAUCCCCAGCACCAUCA